AUUGAACGCUGGCGGCAUGCUUUACACAUGCAAGUCGAACGGCAGCGCGGGGGCAACCCUGGCGGCGAGUGGCGAACGGGUGAGUAAUGCAUCGGAACGUAUCCUGUAAUGGGGGAUAACGUAGCGAAAGUUACGCUAAUACCGCAUACGCUCGAGAGAGGAAAGUGGGGGAUCGCAAGACCUCACGUUAUAGGAGCGGCCGAUGUCCGAUUAGCUAGUUGGUGGGGUAAAGGCCUACCAAGGCGACGAUCUGUAGCGGGUCUGAGAGGAUGAUCCGCCACACUGGAACUGAGACACGGUCCAGACUCCUACGGGAGGCAGCAGUGGGGAAUUUUGGACAAUGGGCGCAAGCCUGAUCCAGCCAUGCCGCGUGAGUGAAGAAGGCCUGGUGUAAGCUCUUCGCGGAGAAUCGCAUGGGUUAAUACCUGUGUGGAUGACGGUACCGGAAUAAGAAG
rnacentral:rRNA from 1 species